rnacentral:rRNA from 1 species
UACGUAGGGUGCGAGCGUUGUCCGGAAUCACUGGGCGUAAAGGGCGCGUAGGUGGUUUGAUAAGGGUGUGGUGAAAGUCCGGGGCUCAACUCCGGAUCUGCGGUGGGUACGGGCAGACUAGAGUGAUGUAGGGGAGACUGGAAUUCCUGGUGUAGCGGUGAAAUGCGCAGAUAUCAGGAGGAACACCGAUGGCGAAGGCAGGUCACUGGGCCGCAACUGACGCUGAGGAGCGAAAGCAUGGGGAGCGAACAGG